GGCAAGAUGGCCGAGUGGUUAAGGCGUGUGACUCAAGCGUAACGGCUUCCCUGCUGAUACUGGGGUUUCUCAUCACGUAAUGUGGCGUGGGUUCAAAUCCCACUCUUGUCA